CCAAGCAAUCCUCCUUCCUUGCAAAUAUGCGGCACCAAGGUGUGAGUGGUGAAUGGAUGGUCUCUUGUGGUGGUGGAUGGAUAUAGGUGAGUUAUGGUGAAGGGUGGAGAGUUGUGUAGAUGAUGUGGUGUCCUUGGAUGAUGGCCCCCAAAUUAUGGUGAAGGGUGGAUGUAUUUAUAGGCUAGGGAGAGGAGUGUAUGGAGUUGUAAUGAGUGGAUGUAAUGGGUGUAGUGGGUGAGUGUUGUGGUAAUGAGUGGAUGUAAUGGGUGUAGUGGAUGAAUGUUUG
rnacentral:lncRNA from 1 species